UACGGGGGGGGUAAGCGUUUUUCGGAAUUACUGGGCGUAAAGGGCUCGUAGGCGGCCAACUAAGUCAUACGUGAAAUCCCUCAGCUUAACUGGGGAACUGCGUGUGAUACUGGAUGGCUUGGAUUUGGGAGAGGGAUGCGGAAUUCCAGGUGUAGCGGUGAAAUGCGUAGAUAUCUGGAGGAACACCGGUGGCGAAGGCGGCAUCCUGGACCAAUAUUGACGCUGAGGAGCGAAAGCUAGGGGAGCAAACGGG
rnacentral:rRNA from 1 species